GACGUAGGGUCCAAGCGUUGUCCGGAUUUACUGGGCGUAAAGAGCGCGUAGGCGGUCUGAUAAGUGUGAAGUGAAAUCUCCAGGGCUCAACCCGGAAACUGCUUUACAUACUGUCAGACUGGAGUGAUGAAGAGGUUUGUGGAAUUCCUGGUGUAGCGGUGAAAUGCGCAGAUAGUCAGGAGGAACACCGGUGGCGGAAGGCGGGUCUCUGGGCCG
rnacentral:rRNA from 1 species